UACAGAGACUGCAGGCGUUAUUCGGGUUCACUGGGCGUAAAGGGUGCGCAGGCGGCCAAGUGUGUGAGGCGUGAAAGCCCGGGGCUUAACCCCGGAAUUGCACCUCAAACUACAUGGCUAGAGCAUUGGAGAGGGUAGCAGAAUUCAUGGUGUAGCAGUGAAAUGCGUAGAUAUCAUGAGGAAUACCAGAGGCGAAGGCGGCUACCUGGACAAUUGCUGACGCUCAGGCACGAAAGCGUGGGGAGCAAAAGGG
rnacentral:rRNA from 1 species